rnacentral:rRNA from 1 species
GACGAACGCUGGCGGCGUGCCUAACACAUGCAAGUCGAACGGGGUGAGAUCCUUCGGGGUUUCACUUAGUGGCGAACGGGUGAGUAACGCGUGAGAAACCUGCCUUUCAGUGGGGGACAACAGUUGGAAACGACUGCUAAUACCGCAUAACAUAUAUUAGGGGCAUCCCUGAUAUAUCAAAGCUUUAUGUGCUGAAAGAUGGUCUCGCGUCUGAUUAGCUAGAUGGCGGGGUAACGGCCCACCAUGGCGACGAUCAGUAGCCGGUCUGAGAGGAUGAACGGCCACAUUGGGACUGAGAUACGGCCCAGACUCCUACGGGAGGCAGCAGUCGGGAAUAUUGCGCAAUGGAGGAAACUCUGACGCAGUGACGCCGCGUAUAGGAAGAAGGUUUUCGGAUUGUAAACUAUUGUCGUUAGGGAAGAUACAAGACAGUACCUAAGGAGGAAGCCCCGGCUAACUAUGUG